rnacentral:rRNA from 1 species
GAUGAACGCUGGCGGCGUGCCUAAUACAUGCAAGUCGAGCGAACGGACGAGAGGCUUGCUUCUCUGAUGUUAGCGGCGGACGGGUGAGUAACACGUGGAUAACCUACCUAUAAGACUGGGAUAACUUCGGGAAACCGGAGCUAAUACCGGAUAAUACUUUGAACCGCAUGGUUCAAAAGUGAAAGACGGUCUUGCUGUCACUUAUAGAUGGAUCCGCGCUGCAUUAGCUAGUUGGUAAGGUAACGGCUUACCAAGGCAACGAUGCAUAGCCGACCUGAGAGGGUGAUCGGCCACACUGGAACUGAGACACGGUCCAGACUCCUACGGGAGGCAGCAGUAGGGAAUCUUCCGCAAUGGGCGAAAGCCUGACGGAGCAACGCCGCGUGAGUGAUGAAGGUCUUCGGAUCGUAAAACUCUGUUAUUAGGGAAGAACAUAUGUGUAAGUAACUGUGCACAUCUUGACGGUACCUAAUCAGAAAGCCACGGCUAACUACGUG